rnacentral:rRNA from 1 species
GAAUUUUCCGCAAUGGGCGCAAGCCUGACGGAGCGACGCCGCGUGGAGGACGACACCUUUCGGGGCGUAAACUCCUUUUCUGGGGGAUGAAUGAUGACAGUACCCCAGGAAGAAGGACCGGCUAACUACGUGCCAGCAGCCGCGGUAAGACGUAGGGUCCGAGCGUUGUCCGGAGUUACUGGGCGUAAAGGGCGCGUAGGCGGUUAUUCGCGUCGCACGUGAAAGCCCCCGGCUCAACCGGGGAGGGUCGUGCGAGACGGGAUAACUGGAGGCAGUGAGAGGCUGGUGGAAUUCCCGGAGUAGUGGUGAAAUGCGUAGAGAUCGGGAGGAACACCGGUGGCGAAGGCGGCCAGCUGGCACUGACCUGACGCUGAGGCGCGAAGGCGUGGGGAGCGAACGG